rnacentral:lncRNA from 1 species
UAAAUACUACCAUUCAUCUAUAGAAAAGUUGUUAACUGAAUUGGAUUGUUAAAUUGGAUGGAUGGUUAACUCCAUGUUUUAUUAUGAUCCACCCUCUGCAGUAUGGUUCAAGAGUAAUGUUGUUAACUGAACCCAAAAAACACAAAUUAGAAAACCAACCCAAAAAACAAAAUAAAAAUAAAACUAAUAUAUUCAGUUGAAGAGGGUGAAACAAAACAAAUAAUUCCUUACAUAGAAAAAGAGAUAUCCAAGAUAACAACCUUUUUAUAGUCAUA